rnacentral:rRNA from 1 species
GAGACUCUGUGCGCGUGCAUAUCAAUAAGCGGAGGAAAAGAAACUAACUAGGAUUCCCUCAGUAACGGCGAGUGAAGCGGGAAGAGCUCAAAUUUGAAAUCUUAAAGGUUUCCCUUGACGAAUUGUAGUUUAAAGAAGUGUUUUCUGUUGGAGUUUCGGUAAAAGUUCUUUGGAAUAGGACAUCAUAGAGGGUGAGAAUCCCGUAUUUGACCGUUACUUUCCAGCUGUGUGAUACACUUUCAAAGAGUCGGAUUGUUUGGAAUGCAGUCCAAGAUGGGUGGUAAAUUUCAUCUAAAGCUAAAUAUUGGCGAGAGACCGAUAGCGAACAAGUACCGUGAGGGAAAGAUGAAAAGAACUUUGAAAAGAGAGUUAAACAGUACGUGAAAUUGUCAAAAGGGAAGCGUUUGACACCAGUGUUGUUUAGUUGAAAAUCAAUUCAAUAGUUUUUGAUUUUAAGUAGUAUUGACUUCAUCAGCUUGCUGCUUUCUUUCUCAGAAAUUAUUGAAUGCACUUUUCAGUUAACAAGUCAACAUCAAUUUCUUUUGUUGUAAAAGGGUAAUAGGAAGGUGGCUUACUCUUCGGCGUAAAGUGUUUAUAGCCUUUGACCUCUGCAAUCGGAGAGAUUGAGGAUCAGCAGCGUAGACUCCUUCGGGGUUAGAUACACUUGUGCUAAGCUAUAGCCUUGUAUAGACAACUUGUUGACUAUGCUCAGUCAUGUAGCUUACUCGCUUAUGCUAUUUUACCUACGCUUAGGAUGUUGAUCUGUAGUGCGUGCGC